rnacentral:rRNA from 1 species
GACGAACGCUGGCGGCGUGCUUAACACAUGCAAGUCGAACGGAAAGGCCCUGCUUUUUUGGUGUUCUCGAGUGGCGAACGGGUGCGUAACACGUGAGUAACCUGCCCUUGAUUUUGGUAUAACUUCAGGUAACUGGGGCUAAUAUCGUAUAGGAUCUCCUGCUGCAUUGUGGGGGUUGGAAAGUUUCGGCGGUUGGGGAUGGAUUCGCGGCUUAUCAGCUUGUUGGUGGGGUAGUGGCUUACCAAGGCUUUGACGGGUAGCCGGCCUGAGAGGGUGACCGGCCACAUUGGGACUGAGAUACGGCCCAGAGUCCUACGGGAGGCAGCAGUGGGGAAUAUUGCACAAUGGGAGGAAGCCUGAUGCAGCAACGCCGCGUGCGGGAUGACGGCCUGCGGGUUGUAAACAGCUUUAGCCUGUGACGAAGCGGGAGUGACGGUAAUGGGUAAAGAAGCACCGGCUAACUACGUG